UACCAGCACCCCGAGUGGUCGGGACGUUUUAUUGGGCCUAAAGCAUCCGUAGCCGGUUCUGCAAGUCUUCCGUUAAAUCCACCUGCUUAACAGAUGGGCCGCGGAAGAUACUAUAGAGCUAGGAGGCGGGAGAGGCAAGCGGUACUCGAUGGGUAGGGGUAAAAUCCGUUGAUCCAUUGAAGACCACCAGUGGCGAAGGCGGCUUGCCAGAACGCGCUCGACGGUGAGGGAUGAAAGCUGGGGGGAG
rnacentral:rRNA from 1 species